rnacentral:rRNA from 1 species
CUUUUGAAGAAUGAGCCUGCGAGUUAGCGAUACGUGGCGAGGUUAACCCGUGUGGGGUAGCCGUAGCGAAAGCGAGUCUGAAUAGGGCGAUUCAGUCGCGUGUCCUAGACCCGAAGCGAAGUGAUCUAUCCAUGGCCAGGCUGAAGCGACGGUAAGACGUCGUGGAGGGCCGAACCCACUUAGGUUGAAAACUGAGGGGAUGAGCUGUGGAUAGGGGUGAAAGGCCAAUCAAACUUCGUGAUAGCUGGUUCUCUCCGAAAUGCAUUUAGGUGCAGCGUUGCGUGUUUCUUGCCGGAGGUAGAGCUACUGGAUGGCCGAUGGGCCCUACAAGGUUACUGACGUCAGCCAAACUCCGAAUGCCGGUAAGUGAGAGCGCAGCAGUGAGACUGUGGGGGAUAAGCUUCAUAGUCGAGAGGGAAACAACCCAGACCACCAUCUAAGGUCCCUAAGCGCGUGCUAAGUGGGAAAGGAUGUGGAGUUGCUGUGACAACCAGGAGGUUGGCUUAGAAGCAGCCACCCUUGAAAGAGUGCGUAAUAGCUCACUGGUCAAGUGAUUCCGCGCCGACAAUGUAACGGGGCUCAAGCACGCCACCGAAGUUGUGGCAUUGACAUUUAUGGUAGGCCUUCGUGGUCCAGCCGUGUUGAUGGGUAGGAGAGCGUCGUGUGGCGAGUGAAGCGGCGGAGUGAUCCAGCCGUGGACGCUACACGAGUGAGAAUGCAGGCAUGAGUAGCGAAAGACGUGUGAGAAACACGUCCUCCGGAAGACCAAGGGUUCCAGGGUCAAGCUAAUCUUCCCUGGGUAAGUCGGGACCUAAGGCGAGGCCGACAGGCGUAGUCGAUGGACAACGGGUUGAUAUUCCCGUACCGGCGAAGAACCGCCCAAGCUAAUCCAGUAGUGCUAAGUAUCUGAAUCCCCAUGACCGGAUCCUUCGGGUGAUGGCUUGGGGCCUAGCGUACGACCCCAUUCUGGUGCGGCUAGCGUAUUAACAGGUGUGACGCAGGAAGGUAGCCCAGCCAGGCGAUGGUUGUCCUGGUGCAAGUGCGUAGGCCGAGAGAUAGGCAAAUCCGUCUCUCAUACAGGCUGAGACACGAUGCGGAUGAAAAGUGGGUGAUCCUAUGCUGCCAAGAAAAGCAUCGACGCGAGGUUCUAGCCGCCCGUACCCCAAACCGACUCAGGUGGUCAGGUAGAGAAUACCAAGGAGAUCGAGAGAAUCGUGGUUAAGGAACUCGGCAAAAUGCCCCCGUAACUUCGGGAGAAGGGGGGCCACCCGCUUAUACGGAUUUACUCCGAAAAGGGUGUGGUGGCCGCAGAGACUAGUGGGUAGCGACUGUUUACUAAAAACACAGGUCCGUGCCAAGUCGCAAGACGAUGUAUACGGACUGACGCCUGCCCGGUGCUGGAAGGUUAAGAGGACGGGUUAGCUUCGGCGAAGCUCAGAAUUUAAGCCCCAGUAAACGGCGGUGGUAACUAUAACCAUCCUAAGGUAGCGAAAUUCCUUGUCGGGUAAGUUCCGACCUGCACGAAUGGCGUAACGACUUCCCAACUGUCUCAACCGCGAACUCGGCGAAAUUGCAUUACGAGUAAAGAUGCUCGUUACGCGCAGCAGGACGGAAAGACCCCGGGACCUUUACUAUAGCUUGGUAUUGGUGUUCGGUGCGGUUUGUGUAGGAUAGGUGGGAGACUGUGAAGCGGGCACGCCAGUGUUCGUGGAGUCGACGUUGAAAUACCACUCUGACCGCUUCGGAUGUCUAACCUCGGUCCGUGAUCCGGACCAGGGACAGUGCCUGGUGGGUAGUUUAACUGGGGCGGUUGCCUCCUAAAAUGUAACGGAGGCGCUCAAAGGUUCCCUCAGCCUGGUUGGCAAUCAGGUGGCGAGUGCAAGUGCACAAGGGAGCUUGACUGUGAGACUGACAGGUCGAGCAGGGACGAAAGUCGGAACUAGUGAUCCGGCGGUGGCUUGUGGAAGCGCCGUCGCUCAACGGAUAAAAGGUACCCCGGGGAUAACAGGCUGAUCUUGCCCAAGAGUCCAUAUCGACGGCAUGGUUUGGCACCUCGAUGUCGGCUCGUCGCAUCCUGGGGCUGGAGUAGGUCCCAAGGGUUGGGCUGUUCGCCCAUUAAAGCGGUACGCGAGCUGGGUUUAGAACGUCGUGAGACAGUUCGGUCCCUAUCCGCUGCGCGCGCAGGAAACUUGAGAAGGGCUGUCCCUAGUACGAGAGGACCGGGACGGACGAACCUCUGGUGUGCCAGUUGUUCCGCCAGGAGCACGGCUGGUUGGCUACGUUCGGAAGGGAUAACCGCUGAAAGCAUCUAAGCGGGAAGCCUGCUUCAAGAUGAGGUUUCCAUGCCCCCUCGAGGGGUGAGAGGCUCCCAGCUAGACCACUGGGUAGAUAGGCCGGACGUGGAAGACGGGACCAACGACCGUCGCAGCUGACCGGUACUAAUCAGCCGACCACUUCACCACAA